UCCGCGAACGUUGCGUCGCGACUACGGCGGC
rnacentral:sRNA from 1 species